CGGGAGGGCCGGGCGUCAGAGCCGGGCGGGGACGGGCCGGGCGCAGCCCUCCAUACAAGGCAGAGAGGAACUCCCAAAGUCGGCGUCGCCUGCUCCCGCCGUGGGGAGAGCGGAGGCCGAGCCGAUCCGGCCCCGAUGGGCUCCCCGGGGGACCACUGGCUGCCCGCGGGCGUCCACCGGCGCGCAGGCUCUUGCUGAGCACUUGGCUCGCCCCCUCCCGGGUUAUUUUUUUAUUUUUCUGCACAGUCUGGCAGGGGCCCCCAAGCCUUUCUCCCAGGCGUAGAAUCUACUGCCUGCCUAGGAGUCAUGAAACGAUUUGACAACAAAUGUAGGAGGGGUUUGUGGUACGUUUGAAAGCGCCUCUGUCGACUCUACCAGGUGGCACUGUUUGUCAUGGUGCGCCAGAUGUUAGAGCCUUUGACGGGGUUGGGUGCUAAUGAUGCCAGCGGCCCUAUGCCCAGAUACAACUAGACUCGGUUUACCUGGCUGGCGGGGACCGGGCCUCGGGGAGGGCUGGGAAUAGAUGAAGAACGAACUGUAGCUGUAAGAUCUCUUUCCUACUGAGAUGUAGGAAUGAAGGGUAUAGGGAUAAAUACUCCUUCCUGGGCGGUGACUGUGGCAAGGGGCCUUGGUAACAUCCUAGCAAACAACCUUCCAAGCGAUUGAAAAACUGCCCGCCCUGAUUGCUGCUGGACUGCUGGACCGCGUUCCUGGACGACGUUGUUGCCGGGUGGACUCCCUUUGCUGGGGUGAACACAGAACGGAGGUUAAGGUCAGAAACAGGUAGCACUCUGCAAACAUCCGAAACAUGGAGGGUGAGCUGGUUUCACCUCCCUCCUGGGGAGAAGCAGUGGCAGGGCUUGCGUGGGUCUUCUAGAAACAACAAAACAAAAAAGGUCUUCAGUUACACCUCCCCUGCCUGUCUCAGGCCGCCUUCGAGAAUAGAUUUGGUGGGCCGCUGCUGGAUAGGCUUCAUGAAGCAGCACAAAGUCUUCAGCUCCCUCCAGAAGGUGUGAAAGCACUGUUGACAUGAAGUCACGGAAUAAAAAAUAAAAGACCCUCCCUCUAAGGCGAAAGUCUGUAAUGAUUCCUAUGGAUGUAAGACUUUUAAUCACCCUUCCCUUCUCCCCAGGGGCCCAAGGGUUUCUGGAAGGAUAGACUCAUUUGGAAUUGAUUUUCUAAAGGCAACCUCCCCAAACAAAGAGAUGAUGAUGGUAAGGGUGAUUGUUGGCCAGAUCACAAACGUGUUUGUGAUUUUAUGGUGCUUGGCCCAGUGGUUUAGCUUUGCCUUCCCCUCAUCUCUUCCUUUUCACGCCUUAUUUGUUUUCUUUAUGUCCUCUGCCUCUCUCUCCCGCCCUUUGUUUCCUUCUUCCUACUCUGAGUGGCCUCACAAAGGCACCCCAGAGCGACUUAACUUAGUUUGUUUUGUGCUGGGCAGAGAGCUUGGCACCAGAGCUGCAGGAAUAGGGAUGCAGUGGGAUGUAAAAGAAUCGAAAGCUACAGUUCUGACGGAUAUAUCACAACUGCAGAUACCUUCUCUUCCCAAAACUAGACACCCAAAUAGUCAGAUCCAUCAUUCUUUUCAAUUCUCAAUGAGUCACAGGCUGAUGUUCUCCAGCAUGAGGAUUAGAGCAAGAUAAUUAGAUGCUCAUUAUUGUCUACAUAAUGUGUUGGUAUCAUAAUGUCCUUUACUAAAAUAUCAUUAUAAUAUAGUCUGUCAAUUAUUUCAUUAAUACUCCAGACUUCCUACCAUGGUACAUGAUUUCCAAUGUUAUAUAUUUCUUCAGGUCAAAAGGCUUAUAGAGUAAAAAGAAUGUAAUAAAGUUCUUGAGAAAGUAAGUAAGGUUUUAUUAUUAAUUUUGUUGGUCUUUGAGCCAGAUCUCAAUGUCUUUGGGUAUCUGAUAAAAUACUGUGCUCUGCAGUAUCUGAAGCUAUGGUAGAAAGAAGUUGCUUCUACAACUCUUACUUUGAAGGGUAGGUGGUUUUCAACUACAAGUCUAAAUCAUUUUAUUCUCUGUAGUGAGGUUUGGUUGCUAAUUGUUUUUGUCAACACAAACUUUUAAUGAAAAUAUUCCAAAUGAGUUUCUUUAAAUAUAUAUGUAUACAUAUAUGUAUAUAUGUAUGUAUGUAUAUAUGUAUGUAUAUAUAUAUGCUAAAGCAAGGCCACUUCUAUAACAUACUGGAUUAAUCAUAUCUUUUCAUAGUGUUUUCUCAUCUCAAUUGCAUUGAUUUGGGGAAGUUCUAUAAAGCCCAUAGUAUAUUCCAUUACUUUUAAUAAUGAAAGUUCCCUAAGUCACCAAAAUCUGUCAUUCGUGCUAAAAUGUUUACACAUCAAAGGACUGAUGAUAAAAAUGGUUGCACUAUGACCUAAAAUCUGAGCAAGACGCCAAAACAUCAAUGUCUAACAUUCAUUUAAGCAAAAUCUUUUUAAUUGGAAAAUAAAUUAGUGAAGCAUUGCAGAAUAUUUUGUAUGUCAUCAAUUCUGCAAGAGAGUUUAAUGCAUGGAAAAAUAUUAACUUUUACUUAGAACAAAUACAUGAUUCAUAAUCUCUUGAGAGCUCUCAACAGUUAUUCUUUAUCAAGGAAAGACAAAAGGGCAGAAAGGUCCAGCGGUUCUACCUCCUUAGAAAACCCUUUCAGGAGGCAAGUGGGAAAGAAAGCAGAGCAGAAUAUCCAGUCCCUGGAGGAUGGUCAAGGGAUGUGCAGUGAAUUUCAAGCUGGAGAUAGUCUUCUUGUUAGUGUUUUAAAAAUAAAGUGGCACCAAGAAGCCCUAAUUUAAAAAGCUGAAAAAAGAAACUAUUCUGAAUUAAGAAAUAUGGUCAGAUGUUUCCUAUAAACAUAGAUAGAUAGAUAGAUAGAUAGAUAGAUAGAUAGAUAGGUAGAGCAUUCCACUUUUGAUGAAAAAAAGCACUUAGCAGUGCUAAACACAUUUGCUGCUAUGUGUUGUUUGCUUAUUCACUUUCAUUUGCAAAUUUAUUCUGGUGUCUAUAAAACAUCAUCAAUAGCUUUUUCUUUCUCAUUUUUCCCCCAGGGUCACUACAUAGCACUGCUCUCGUGGAACUCACUAUAUAUAUAGACCAGGCUGGCCUUGAACUCGCAGAGGUCCACCUGUCUGUAUGCCUUUUGAGUCUUGGGAUUAAAGUCAUGCAUUACUACACUCCUAUAUAACAGUAGCUUUUAUGUUAUUCAGACUCAGAGCUCUGCUAAUAAUAGCAUUUCACAUUCAGCUUUUUUGUUCUUGUUUUGUUUUCCCUCUCCCUCCCUUUUCACUUCUGUUGAGCAUAAUCAUACUGGAGGAUGUGCAGAAAAUAAUGGCCCAGAGCACGACUUCCUACUAACAUAGGAAAAGAAGCCCUACAUUUCUCUAAAGCAUCUCCAGUCCACUCACAGAGCUGGAACUGUGCUUUGUGUCAUUCUUUCGGGCUGUGAAUUAGAGCACAGUGCACAGAAGGCUGUCCUCAGGCCUACCUAGGCAAAGGGAAGUGGGAAAUUCAGUUAUUUAUCCAAACAUUCAUUAGCAACGGCAAUGCAAGGGAAGCAGUUGAAUAGAUAGAUAGUAAAUGCCGAAAUGGCCAACAAUACCAAAUGCAAGCAUUGUUUCCUGUUUCCUAGAUUAUAUUGACACAGCUUUGUAGCAAAGAAGAAGGCAACAUAUACCAUCUAUGGCUAUUAACUCUUCUAAGGUUUUGUUUUUAGUCUGCAAACACAUAAACUUACCACUACAGUCUAGCAUGUUUCUAUACAACAAAGGCUAUCCUGGAACAGUCAGCUGUUACUUAUUAUAGUACUACAGAGACUGAAAUUAAUCUGUCGCAGAGGGGUCCACAGAAGCAUGGCAGAAUAGGGUGGCCAAGAGUUUACACCUCAGUGGUGAGCAUGGAAGAGAAAAUGGGAGAGCCACCACUGCACUGUGGUUCCCAUGUGUGUUCAAUUUAGAGGCUUAAAAUGCCUAAGACUGUUAGAACAUGUACACAAUUAUCUGAAUGCAUUUAGGGAACUCUACUUUUAAAGUCCUAUAUUCCAUUGAUAGUGACAAUUAAAGGUCAUAUUACUGUGAUUUAUCACAGAGGGGAAUAUGUGAACUUUUGUAGUUGUACAUGGAUACACCUAAAAACCAAUAGACUAUUAUUAUUCAGUGACAGUACUCAGAUGUCUAGCGUGAUUCAAGAGUAACCUCCAACAUUCUGCAUAAUUUGGAAAAAAAAGAAUACUAUGAUGCCUAAGCAAAUAAACAAUAUUGUUAUAUGCUAUCUGAUGUUUUCCUUUUCCUGACCAAAUUGCUAAUAUUUUAAAUAUCACAUAUUUUUAAAACUAGACAAUGAUUCAAAAAUUCUGUUCUAAGUAGCUUUGUUGUGCAUAGUUGGAAUUUACAGACAUUGAUUUUCUCUUCCUUACACACAUGUUAAGUUUUCCACUUGGAUGGCCUAUUCUUUAACAUUGUAAUUUUAUGUGUCCAUAGCUAACAACAUGCAUUGAUUUAGUGAGUGUGUCAACCAGGGUGAAGACAGCCCACAGAAAAGCAGUGGGAAUUUCAAGGAUACAGGAGGUAGAAAAAAUUAGGGAAGGUGACACUACAUGAUCCAGAGAGGAGAAACUGAAAACGUGGAGGAACAAAAUAAAGGAAAGGAUGUUGGUUUACACAAUGAAGAAAAACAAUGCCAAGAAGAAAGGGUCCAAGAGACAGCAGCAAACGCGAAGGCCGUAGCUACAUAAAUAAAUCAGGACCAUGAGAUGCCACCCUUUCUUUCCUAAAGCGUGACCCAGGAACAUGAAAAACAAUGAAGAGGAAUCAGCCGAGUGCCUCAGCAGAAAGCAAUGAGCACACCAGAGAAAAUGUGGCCAUGGAAGAAAAGAAAUUCAAUAAAGAAUUGUAACCCA